AACCGUGGUAAUUCUAGAGCUAAUACAUGCUAAAAACCCCGACUUCGGAAGGGGUGUAUUUAUUAGAUUAAAAACCAACGCCCUUCGGGGCUCCUUGGUGAAUCAUAAUAACUYAACGAAUCGCAUGGCCUUGCGCCGGCGAUGGUUCAUUCAAAUUUCUGCCCUAUCAACUUUCGAUGGUAGGAUAGUGGCCUACCAUGGUCUCAACGGGUAACGGGGAAUUAGGGUUCGACUCCGGAGAGGGAGCCUGAGAAACGGCUACCACAUCCAAGGAAGGCAGCAGGCGCGCAAAUUACCCAAUCCCGACACGGGGAGGUAGUGACAAUAAAUACUGAUACAGGGCUCUUUUGGGUCUUGUAAUUGGAAUGAGUACAAUUUAAAUCCCUUAACGAGGAACAAUUGGAGGGCAAGUCUGGUGCCAGCAGCCGCGGUAAUUCCAGCUCCAAUAGCGUAUAUUAAAGUUGUUGCAGUUAAAAAGCUCGUAGUUGAACCUUGGGCCUGGCUGGCCGGUCCGCCUCACCGCGUGCACUGGUCCGGCCGGGCCUUUCUUUCUGGGGAACCGCAUGGCCUUCACUGGCCGUGCCGGGGAACCAGGACUUUUACUUUGAAAAAAUUAGAGUGUUCAAAGCAGGCCUUUGCUCGGAUACAUUAGCAGGAAUAAUAGAAUAGGACGCGG
rnacentral:rRNA from 1 species